GACGAACGCUGGCGGCGUGCUUAACACAUGCAAGUCGAACGAAGAGCGAUGGAAGCUUGCUUCUAUCAAUCUUAGUGGCGAACGGGUGAGUAACGCGUAAUCAACCUUCCCUUCAGAGGGGGACAACAGUUGGAAACGACUGCUAAUACCGCAUACGAUCUGACCUCGGCAUCGAGGAUAGAUGAAAGGUGGCCUCUACAUGUAAGCUAUCACUGAAGGAGGGGAUUGCGUCUGAUUAGCUAGUUGGAGGGGUAACGGCCCACCAAGGCGAUGAUCAGUAGCCGGUCUGAGAGGAUGAACGGCCACAUUGGGACUGAGACACGGCCCAGACUCCUACGGGAGGCAGCAGUGGGGAAUCUUCCGCAAUGGACGAAAGUCUGACGGAGCAACGCCGCGUGAGUGAUGACGGCCUUCGGGUUGUAAAGCUCUGUUAAUCGGGACGAAAGGCCUUUUUGCGAAUAGUGAGAAGGAUUGACGGUACCGGAAUAGAAAGCCACGGCUAACUACGUG
rnacentral:rRNA from 1 species